rnacentral:rRNA from 1 species
GGAGUGUUACAGUGCGGAGGAGGUCAUUACCGAGAUUUACAACGCCCUAAGCCCCUGUGGGCGUACCUUAAUGUUGCCUCGGCGGAUCAACCCGCGCCCCGUGAAACGGGACGGCCCGCCAGAGGACCCAAACUCUGAUGUUUCUUGUUGUAACUUCUGAGUAGAACAAGCAAAUGAAUCAAAGCUUUCAACAACGGAUCUCUUGGUUCUGGCAUCGAUGAAGAACGCAGCAAAAUGCGAUAAGUAAUGUGAAUUGCAGAAUUCAGUGAAUCAUCGAAUCUUUGAACGCACAUUGCGCCCGCUGGUAUUCCGGCGGGCAUGCCUGUUCGAGCGUCAUUUCUACCCUCAAGCCCCCGGGUUUGGUGUUGGGGAUCGGCUCUGCCUUCUGGCGGUGCCGCCCCCGAAAUACAUUGGCGGUACUCGCUGCAGCCUCCAUUGCGUAGUAGCUAACACCUCGCUUCUGGGACGCGGCGCGGCCAUGCCGUAAAACCCCAACUUCUGAAUGUGACCCUCGGAUCAGGUA